rnacentral:rRNA from 1 species
GGGGUUUCCGCCCCUUAGUGCUGCAGCUAACGCAUUAAGCACUCCGCCUGGGGAGUACGGUCGCAAGACUGAAACUCAAAGGAAUUGACGGGGGCCCGCACAAGCGGUGGAGCAUGUGGUUUAAUUCGAAGCAACGCGAAGAACCUUACCAGGUCUUGACAUCCCACUGACCGGUCUAGAGAUAGAUCUUUCCCUUCGGGGACAGUGGUGACAGGUGGUGCAUGGUUGUCGUCAGCUCGUGUCGUGAGAUGUUGGGUUAAGUCCCGCAACGAGCGCAACCCUUGAUCUUAGUUGCCAGCAUUUAGUUGGGCACUCUAAGGUGACUGCCGGUGAUAAACCGGAGGAAGGUGGGGAUGACGUCAAAUCAUCAUGCCCCUUAUGACCUGGGCUACACACGUGCUACAAUGGACGGUACAGAGGGUCGCAACCCCGCGAGGGUGAGCUAAUCCCAUAAAACCGUUCUCAGUUCGGAUUGUAGGCUGCAACUCGCCUACAUGAAGCCGGAAUCGCUAGUAAUCGUGGAUCAGCAUGCCACGGUGAAUACGUUCCCGGGCCUUGUACACACCGCCCGUCACACCACGAGAGUUUGUAACACCCGAAGUCGGUGGGGUAACCCUUACGGGAGCCAGCCGCCGAAGGUGGGACAGAUGAUUGGGGUGAAGUCGUAANCAAGGUACC